UGCCAGCCGCCGCGGUAAUACGGAGGGGGUUAGCGUUGUUCGGAAUCACUGGGCGUAAAGCGCACGUAGGCGGACUUUUAAGUCAGGGGUGAAAUCCCGAGGCUCAACCUCGGAACUGCCUUUGAUACUGGAAGUCUUGAGUUCGAGAGAGGUUAGUGGAAUUCCCAGUGUAGAGGUGAAAUUCGUAGAUAUUGGGAAGAACACCAGUGGCGAAGGCGGCUAACUGGCUCGGUACUGACGCUGAGAUGCGAAAGCGUGGGGAGCAAACAGGAUUAGAUA
rnacentral:rRNA from 1 species